UAAAUAUGUGUCAGGUGUGGGUAAAGCUGGUAAAGCAGGGAGUGCUCAGAGCCUGGUGGGUGUGAAGUGGGAGGAGGAAUAACCACGGUUUGCACCCCAGGAUGGUUCUGCAGUGCUGGCAGCAAGGUCUGUGCUGACAUCUCCUUUCCCUGCCCUUCUCCUGCAGGUACCCUUGUUGAGUAAACCAAAAGAUUAAUGAAGUUCUUGAGGCCUUGUAAUUCAGCUCUGCUGCAGACCCAAAACUGAUGCGUGAAGUGAGCCCUUCCAGCUGUUUCACCAAAUCAUCUGUAGGGAACAAGAUUUCCCAAUCCUUUCUGCUACAGC
rnacentral:lncRNA from 1 species